UUUUCCUACGGGGGCAGCAGUGAGGAAUAUUGGUCAAUGGGCUUACGCCUGAACCAGCCAAGUCGCGUGAGGGAAGACUGCCCUAUGGGUUGUAAACCUCUUUUGUCAGGGAGCAAUUGGCGCUACGUGUAGCGUUAUCGAGAGUACCUGAAGAAAAAGCAUCGGCUAACUCCGUGCCAGCAGCCGCGGUAAUACGGAGGAUCCGAGCGUUAUCCGGAUUUAUUGGGUUUAAAGGGAGCGUAGGUGGAUUGUUAAGUCAGUUGUGAAAGUUUGCGGCUCAACCGUAAAAUUGCAGUUGAAACUGG
rnacentral:rRNA from 1 species